GUGGGGAAUAUUGUACAAUGGGGGGAACCCUGAUGCAGCGACGCCGCGUGAGUGAAGAAGUAUUUCGGUAUGUAAAGCUCUGUCAGCAGGGAAGAAAAUGACGGUACCUGACCAAGAAGCCCCGGCUAACUACGUGCCAGCAGCCGCGGUAAUACGUAGGGGGCAAGCGUUAUCCGGAUUCACUGGGUGUAAAGGGAGCGUAGACGGCCGUGCAAGUCUGGAGUGAAAGGCGGGGGCCCAACCCCCGGACUGCUCUGGAAACUGCAGGGCUGGAGUACAGGAGAGGUAAGUGGAAUUCCUAGUGUAGCGGUGAAAUGCGUAGAUAUUAGGAGGAACACCAGUGGCGAAGGCGGCUUACUGGACUGUGACUGACGUUGAGGCUCGAAAGCGUGGGGAGCAAACAGGA
rnacentral:rRNA from 1 species